rnacentral:rRNA from 1 species
UGGGGAAUAUUGCACAAUGGGCGCAAGCCUGAUGCAGCCAUGCCGCGUGUAUGAAGAAGGACUUCGGGUUGUAAAGUACUUUCAGUCGGGAGGAAGGUGGUAAGGUUAAUAACCUUAUCAAUUGACGUUACCGACAGAAGAAGCACCGGCUAACUCCGUGCCAGCAGCCGCGGUAAUACGGAGGGUGCAAGCGUUAAUCGGAAUUACUGGGCGUAAAGCGCACGCAGGCGGUUGAUUGAGUCAGAUGUGAAAUCCCCGGGCUUAACCCGGGAAUUGCAUCUGAUACUGGUCAGCUAGAGUCUUGUAGAGGGGGGUAGAAUUCCAUGUGUAGCGGUGAAAUGCGUAGAUAUAUGGAGGAACACCAGUGGCGAAGGCGGCUCUCUGGUCUGUAACUGACGCUGAGGCUCGAAAGCGUGGGGAGCAAACAGG